GAUUGGACUGAAGGGAGCUCC
rnacentral:siRNA from 1 species